rnacentral:tRNA from 1 species
GAGCGGUAGUUCAGUUGGUUAGAAUACCGGCCUGUCACGCCGGGGGUCGCGGGUUCAAGUCCCGUCCGCUCC